UACGGAAGGUCCGGGCGUUAUCCGGAUUCACUGGGUUUAAAGGGAGCGCAGGCCGCCUUUUAAGCGUGCCGUGAAAUGCCGUGGCUCAACCAUGGCACUGCGGCGCGAACUGGAGGGCUUGAGUGCGCGGAAGGCAGGCGGAACUCGUGGUGUAGCGGUGAAAUGCUUAGAUAUCACGAAGAACUCCGAUUGCGAAGGCAGCCUGCCGCAGCGCAACUGACGCUGAGGCUCGAAAGCGCGGGUAUCGAACAGG
rnacentral:rRNA from 1 species